AAUUUGCCCACGAAGGACCGCUGCGCCACCUACCUGUUCAAGUGAGCACAGCACAACAACACAAAGAGGCAUACAUAUGCAAAUUGGUAUUGGUAUGUUAUGCAGAUCACAUUUACCAUCCUCCUUCCUUACCUCGUCAAUGAAUGUCCCAUAGGCCUCUACAUUAUGGACAAGACUUCACCCUCCCUACACCUCUGAUGAAUAUAACAGGAAAUCUGUUCGAUCACCAUGCACUGCAAUAUCCUUCUGGCUAUGGAUACAGAGAACAUCAACACAUUAACAUCAACACGCCAGAGGAAAUACCCAUUGGACAUGGGAUUCUGCUGGGAGUUGACCUCAUAUUUAGAUUUGUUUUUAUUCUGCUUUGCCACUAAAAUCAUAAUAAACACAGAACUAAAAUAUUGUGUUAUUGUUACAGUAUGCAUAUUAUUAAUAUUAAUAAUAAUAACAAGGGAGGGAGGGUAGUUAAAAAAUGUACCCCAAAAGGUUCUUUAAAAGGUAUGUCGAGGAUCCAUUAAAAGGGGUUCUUUGAAGGACCCUUUUAAAGGGUUCUUCGAAUAACUUAUAGUGAUUCCCCCACAUUUUCAAUUUGAAUAAUCCCUAAAGGAUACUCCAGGAACCUUUUCUAUUUAGAGUGCAUCUACCGUCAUUCCACCUGGAGCGUAAAGACAUAUCCAAGCUGGAGGCAAUAGGAAAUGUCAGGAAUAACUUUACCGGCUCUGAGAAACAAGCCCUUAAAUCUCCAGAAUUACACAUCUCUAGUCAUCCUCCCAGUGGACAAGGGAGGCGCUGUUACUGUACACGUCUACAUAGUCUAUAAGACUGAAGUACUCAGAUUGAUCAGACAUUCCAGAAGAGACAAACCCCACAACACAGCUUUUGGCUGUAGUCGAACAGACUGUCACUAAGGGCAUGCACAAUAGUGAUAUCACCAAAAGAGAACACAGUGAUAUCAGACAAGGUUUGGCAGAAGGCAUGAAGAUCUCUGCUCUGCUUCAAAUUUCCUGAAUGAUAAAUAUGCAUUUCUGAGUUGUAUAAUUAAAAACAGUAUCUUGUAGGAUUCAAUAAUUGGAAGUGUAAGAGUUGUUGCCUUGUCCCUUUCUCUGCAAUUGUCAUUCUAAUGGAAACAUUUACUGUACAUCGAAAGGUGCAAAGUUAUGGGCAAAGACACAAAAACAUCCACAUCAAAUUAAAUAUAUUUCUUGAUCAAAUAACAUGGAGAACAACUACAUUUUGUGCAGUAUUAAUUUAACAUCCUUACAACCCACCAUUACUCUAUUGCACAUAGGCUGGCUCAAUUUACCUGUAGAUUUUCCAUCACCAUGAAGAAAAACAAUGCACAAUACAGUAAUUGAGUACAUUGAGGCUGUCACGGCUGUUGAAAGGAGAGGACCAAGACUGCAUUACAGUGCUUGAGGCAUCACUAUAGACCUGGGUUUGAUCCCACGCUGUAUCACAGCUGGCUGUGACAGGGAGACCCAUGAGGCAGUAUACAAUUGGCCCAGCGUCGUCCAGGUUAGGAGAGGGUUUGCCAGGCCGAGAUUUCCUUGUCCGAUCGCGCUGUAGAGACUCCUGUGGCAUAGGGCUAAGUGUGCCAGGUUACCUAAUGGGAACAGCUAACAUUUAGCGUUCUAUCACGUGCAACUAUGUCAACGAUUUUAAUUGACUGAUGCCGAUUUUGAGACUGAGAAAAAGUUUAAGUUCAAACUUUUUCGAAUGUUGUAUAAGUAUGGACCCAUUAUCUUUCGCUAUCGUUGUGUCUGUCAUCCGUUCCAUUUGUUCCAUUUAGAUUGGCAAACAAAUAUGUUGGUCCCAAAAAUGGCUCAUUAUUGUGUUUGAAUAUAUGUGGGGCUUUCACAAGUAUGUAUCCGAUAUCAAGACGCUAUGUAUAUUGUACAUCAGAAUUAUAUGAUGUUCAAGGUUAAGUGUAUUAUAGGCCUAUAUACUGUAUUUGACUGUAAAUGAGACCAGUUUGUGUAUCCUACAGGGCUGGUUCUGUUGUACGUCUGCUUACCUGAUUAAGGUCACAACUUCCUGGGUUACCGUGUUCUCCCUCAUCACAAUGGUGAAUACCAUGGGCCUGGCAGCGUUCCUCAUGUUUGGAGAUGGCAAUUGCGUGGACUUGUGGAAUUUGUCCCAAGUCACACUUGUAUGACUCACAGAGAGACUGCCAUUAACUUUGUGUGUACACACUCCCCUACAUAUUUACAGUGCCUUGCGAAAGUAUUCGGCCCCAUUGAACUUUGCGACCUUUUGCCACA